rnacentral:rRNA from 1 species
CUACGGGUGGCUGCACCAGUCGAGAAUCUUCCGCAAUGGACGAAAGUCUGACGGAGCGACGCCGCGUGCGGGAUGAAGGCCUUCGGGUUGUAAACCGCUGUCAGUGGGGAGGAAAUGCAUCAGGGUUCUCCCUGGUGUUUGACCGAUCCGCAGAGGAAGCGCAGGCUAAGUUCGUGUCAGCAGCCGCGGUAACACGAACUGCGCGAACGUUAUUCGGAAUCACUGGGCUUAAAGAGUUCGUAGGCGGCCUUUCAAGUCGGGUGUGAAAUCCCUCGGCUCAACCGAGGAAUUGCGCCUGAUACUGUUGGGCUUGAGGGGGAUAGGGGUGAGCGGAACUGAUGGUGGAGCGGUGAAAUGCGUUGAUAUCAUCAGGAACACCGGUGGCGAAGGCGGCUCACUGGAUCUCUUCUGACGCUGAGGAACGAAAGCUAGGGGAGCGAACGGGAUUAGAUACCCGUGUAGUC